rnacentral:rRNA from 1 species
GUGGGGAAUAUUGGACAAUGGGGGCAACCCUGAUCCAGCAAUGCCGCGUGUGUGAAGAAGGCCUGCGGGUUGUAAAGCACUUUUAGUUGGGAGGAAAAGCGUACGGCUAAUAUCCGUGCGUCUUGACGUAACCGACAGAAAAAGCACCGGCUAACUCCGUGCCAGCAGCCGCGGUAAUACGGAGGGUGCGAGCGUUAAUCGGAAUUACUGGGCGUAAAGCGUGCGUAGGCGGAUACUUAAGUCGAAUGUGAAAGCCCCGGGCUUAACCUGGGAAUUGCAUUCGAUACUGGGUGUCUGGAGUGUGGUAGAGGAUAGUGGAAUUCCAGGUGUAGCGGUGAAAUGCGUAGAUAUCUGGAGGAACAUCAGUGGCGAAGGCGGCUAUCUGGACCAACACUGACGCUGAGGUACGAAAGCGUGGGUAGCAAACAGGAUUAGAAACCCUGGUAGUCC